UGGGGAAUAUUGGACAAUGGGCGGAAGCCUGAUCCAGCCAUGCCGCGUGUGUGAAGAAGGCCUUUUGGUUGUAAAGCGCUUUAAGCGAGGAGGAGGCUCUUCUAGUUAAUACCUAGGAUGAGUGGACGUUACUCGCAGAAUAAGCACCGGCUAACUCUGUGCCAGCAGCCGCGGUAAUACAGAGGGUGCGAGCGUUAAUCGGAUUUACUGGGCGUAAAGCGUGCGUAGGCGGCUGAUUAAGUCGGAUGUGAAAUCCCUGAGCUUAACUUAGGAAUUGCAUUCGAUACUGGUCAGCUAGAGUAUGGGAGAGGAUGGUAGAAUUCCAGGUGUAGCGGUGAAAUGCGUAGAGAUCUGGAGGAAUACCGAUGGAGAAGGCAGCCAUCUGGCCUAAUACUGACGCUGAGGUACGAAAGCAUGGGGAGCAAACAGG
rnacentral:rRNA from 1 species